GUCGUCGCCGCGGGAUGUCAUGUCGGCGGGUCAGCUUCAGCGCGUCAGCAGGGCCGCAUCGAGAUCUGGCCGCGGCGGACGCGGAGGCGCAGGAACGCCGGAUGCGAGCGAGGCAAAGCGGAGAAGUUGACGCGCGGGGACGGGUGACGGAGAGAAGAGAAGACGGGGCCCUCUUUAUACGAGGCACGCAGGAGGCGACGCGGGAGUGUGCGGCGAGCGGCCGAGACGGACGCGCGGCGCGAUCGAUUCGAUGGAGGCCUGCUAAUGGGCUGGGGUUGAUGGAAAUGGGUUAAAUGGAUUAGUUUUAAUUUAGAUUGGGUUU
rnacentral:lncRNA from 1 species